AUUGAACGCUGGCGGCAGGCCUAACACAUGCAAGUCGAGCGGUAGCACAGGAGAGCUUGCUCUCUGGGUGACGAGCGGCGGACGGGUGAGUAAUGUCUGGGAAACUGCCUGAUGGAGGGGGAUAACUACUGGAAACGGUAGCUAAUACCGCAUAAUGUCGCAAGACCAAAGAGGGGGACCUUCGGGCCUCUUGCCAUCAGAUGUGCCCAGAUGGGAUUAGCUAGUAGGUGGGGUAACGGCUCACCUAGGCGACGAUCCCUAGCUGGUCUGAGAGGAUGACCAGCCACACUGGAACUGAGACACGGUCCAGACUCCUACGGGAGGCAGAAGUGGGGAAUAUUGCACAAUGGGCGCAAGCCUGAUGCAGCCAUGCCGCGUGUAUGAAGAAGGCCUUCGGGUUGUAAAGUACUUUCAGCGAGGAGGAAGGCAUUGUGGUUAAUAACCACAGUGAUUGACGUUACUCGCAGAAGAAGCACCGGCUAACUCCGUGCCAGCCGCCGCAGUAA
rnacentral:rRNA from 1 species